CAGGGCAGGGCAGGGGCACGGGCGGCUGCCCCGGGCGCCCGGCAGGUACCGCGGGGCCGGGCUGCCGAAGGGCGGCGAGCAGGUGACGACCUCCCCGGCAGAGCCGCCGGCCUGGGGGGCCGGCCCGGGAGGUGCAGCCCGGCCCUGCCCGGCACCUCGAGCGCACCUGCUAUUUCUGCUGCAGCUUCCUGUCCUUGACCUAGCGAUACAUUGUGAAGUUCUCCUGAGUCAAUGAAUCCUGGUAAAAUGCAGUAAAGGAUUUAAGGUUAUCGUCUGUCUCUCUCUAACUUCUGACAUCUCUUUAUAACAAGAAAGAGUCACAGCCAACUGUAACAGGAGGGCAACACAAUGAAUCCUGCUAUGCCCAGUUUUGCCUGAUAUCUUAUUGCUGAAAGAAAUGGGGUGCAGCAGCAGAUGUCUGCGAAGGAAGGGUGCCUACAGUGUGCUGUUUGCGAAGCAGGGUAACGAUUAAGCAGUUGGUGCAGUGGGAUUUCUCUGUCAGAGCCCUUCAGAGGAACAUACUGUCCAUAAAUGAGAAGGCUUUUAAAGCACUCUGAUGACUGGAAAGAUACGCAAGUACAACUGAUAUCCCCUGAUGACAUUUGCUUACUUUGACUGCUUGCACAAGAUGGACAGUCAUGUGCAUGAGCACAGCAAAAAGGAGCAGCAUACAUGCUGCAGAGCUGGAAAAUACUUUUCAGAAUCCACAACUUUCUCAUGGAGAGGUGCACAUCCAGUGGCCAGAUGUCACUGCAGUCAGCUGUGGCCACUCCAAGCUGGAAAUGAGUGUCUGAACAUCCUGCCCACUAAUCCACUGCAGUGCCUGUGUUCUGGCUGUUCUCUUGGCUUCUCAGCCAGAAGAAUAUCCUGAAGCAAAUUACUGUCAAAAGCCAAAAAAAGUAUUCAUAAUUCAUCCUAACGCCCUGUCAACUUUAAAGUAAUUUUUUCUGCUUUAUGAGUUCUGGCUGAAGUGGUGUUUUAUGAGAAAUUGGAGCUGCAUGUCACAGUACCUUUUUUCCAUGGGUUAAGGGAGACUGUUCUAACACUCCCAGAUUCUGCUGCCCAGUCAUUCUCUCUUUGUAAUUAGCAUGAAGACUACCCUUCAGUCAAAACUAGCCACCUGGAAAGUUUCAGCUUGUAAUAUGCAGCUUUUUUUGUGAAUUAUGAAUGUGCAAAAAAGAGACCUUUCUCCUUACACCCACUUCCUUGCAUAAUUCAAAUAUGAAUGAAUGAAUUUUAUUCAGCCUUGCCAGAAAAAAAAAAAAAUCAGCUGAUAACAAGCAUGAAAAAUUUCAGAUGAAAGGGAGUUGUUUUUUUUUUUUUAAGAAUAUUCUGAGCAUGGGAGAACAGCAGGUUAAGAUAGAAGUCUCAGCACAGCCUUAACUAUAACAAUUGCUAUCAAGCAAAUACCAUAUCCAAGCACUAAAUCUUGCUUUGUGCUGCCCUGGUGCACAGUAGCAGGGACAGAGUAGAAUAAUAAAAGCUGGUCCCCUUAUGCAAACAGCAAGGCACAGCACCUGACAGAAUACGAGAAGAAGGUGAGCCUGCCUACUGCUCUGGCUUGCUAACCGUAUUCCCAAGGUCUGUGGGUUGGUUGUCACCUCUAGCUCCAGUCAGAUAGCAAAAGGUACUUCAAACACUAGCAAAGGGAAUGUUUUGGUCCAUUCCGGAAGAACGUUUUACUAAUUCCUUGCCUCCAAGUGUACUAUUCUAUUAAAUAAAGUAUUUGAAGGAAUUUGUAUCAGCAACAUCAUGGUUUAAUGGGUCAAAAAGGGAAUUGAAUCAGUGCCAGGCAUUUUUGUGAUUAACUGUGUAUUUUAAAAAUAUAUAUCUGUGAAGAAGGUAUUAUCUGUGCAAAGCAGAUUGAGAUUUGGGUUCAUGCCAGUACCACUUUGAAAAUAAACUAUCACAGUGAAGAAACGGUACCAUCUGGAACAUUUCUGCAUCAUAUUUUCUCUUGUUCCUAAUAAUGCAUUGGUGAUAAGUCCAGCUCUCCUUUUCUACUGAGAAAACAGGAUUAAAACUUCCAUUCAUUUACUAUGUGUUUGUUAAAAAAUGCCCAUUACAGUGGCUAAACAGCAGUGAAUACGAAAGGAUUACCUUGCAGAUUCACAGAUCCACAUCGAUUAGGGGAUCAACAGACAGGAUUUGCAAAUAGCAAGCCUAUGCAUAAAAAUCUCCUUCCAGUCUGAUGUGAGUUGACUGUUGCAAGUUGAGCUUGGCAGCAAGUGACCAAAAUUGAGUUGUCAGCAUCCUCCUGCAUAGUGGAAGAAGUUGUUGCUUUCUCGUGCAGAUGCAAGAGUUUCUGUGGGAAAACAGAACAUAAUCAUGGUUCUGAAUGUCUCUGUGGAUUGGUAAUGUCUCUAAUACAUAGAUCACUUGUGCAAAUUCAGUCCCAGCUGGAUGGGAAAUUAUUGAAAAUGGUUGUUGUUUGAUUGAUAUAAAAUGAGUUGUCAGCUUGAUUCAAUGCCUUCAGGGCAGAUGUCCAUAGCAUAAUUGGCACCUGUCAGAAACAAAGAAUUCCUUGGUACAGAGUAACAGCUACUCAUGCAACCACCCAGAACAGUCCUUGCGUGCCAGGGCUCAGAGAAGAAGGCAGAAAAAAAAAAAACAAACUUCUGGGCAGGAUCUAUUAUGCCAUAAAGUCAAUAAGAGAUUUGAUGUGACACUUGGUGCAAGCUUUUCCCUGGGAUCCUGGCUAGACACGAUCAGCUUUUCUGCUGUUUGGUCAACACUUUCCCUAAGAAUUAGAAGAAAACUCACAUAUAUGGUUACUUGCUAUUAUUGUCAUGGUAAAGGUGGGUUUGUAAAACCAGUUAAUAAAGAAAUGUUUGCAUGUUUGCUUAUUAUAAAAAAAUGCUGUGAAUAAUUUUAUUUUUAUAUUUCUUGAGAAAUUCUCCUCACAACAAUACAGCUAGAGAAAUAAUAGAGUGUCCUCUCAGCAAAAAAAUAAGGCAAAGAAACAGCCAGGACUGACAGUAUAGCAGUGUCAGUAUUACACUGUUUGCUAAUAGUAAACAGUGACCUAUUGUUUACCACAGAGUAGAUUAAAACCGAUUUUUUCCUAUAAGUCACUAAAUAGCUGUCAUAUGGUUAUUAGUGCCUUUGACCAAGUGUGGUACAGCUAACAACAGGAAUGAAUUCUAUUUCCCGUUACCAAUCUGUCGAGCUGGCCACCUUCUUCAUGGGGCUGGUGCUUUGGGAGGUACUAGCUGAAGGACUUUCCAUUAAAACUCAUUUUACUGUCUUCAUCUAGCGCAUGGCUCAACUUUCCUUCUUUCCUUUCAUCUCUGUUUCCUCCUUUAGAUUAUUUUUCAUUAUGCCUCCCCCCCAGCAUACCCACACUUUGCCUUUCAUCUCUCUAUGUAUGCUAUUCCAGCACUUGUCAGGCCCAGCAGGAGGCACAUGGGAGAACCAAACAAUAUGAUAUGUUAGGUGGAAGGAAAUAUUAGAACAAUCAUUUAUUGUCACACUUUAAAGAGGUCUGCUAUGUUAUUUAUUUUAUUAUUCUGUAUUAGGUACAUGGUUUAGUUUUACAGGCAUUAUUAAUCACUAAAAUACAUUACACUUUCAGCCAGGACGCUAACAUUUUAAAUGCAUUCAUCUUGCUUCUUUAAACAGAAACAAUGGGUCUUCUGCACUGCCCUCCCUCCCCUUUAGUCAAUAAAUCCUUUCUAUUGAUUCAAGAAAUAACUCUUAAACCUUGUUUUAUAUUUUAAGUUCCACUAGCUACACUCAGCCAUAUAAUUUCGCUCAAUAACAAAUGGAUCUUCUAUUUUUGCUGUUUACUAUGUGUUUGGUUAUCAAACUCAGCUUGAAAGUAUUGGGUAGAAGAGGACAAAAACUGUAGUGGCAGUGAGCCACCAUGAGAGAUUUCCUAAAUGAAUGUUGCAAUAAAAUAAAGUAUCUGUAAAAAAUG